UACAGAGGUCUCAGGCGUUGUUCGGAUUCAUUGGGCGUAAGGGGUGCGUAGGCGGCGCGGUAAGUCGGGUGUGAAAUCUCGGGGCUUAACUCCGAAACUGCAUUCGAUACUGCCGUGCUUGAGGACUGGAGAGGAGACUGGAAUUUACGGUGUAGCGGUGAAAUGCGUAGAUAUCGUAAGGAAGACCAGUGGCGAAGGCGGGUCUCUGGACAGUCCCUGACGGCUGAGGCACGAAGGCCCAGGGGGAGCAAAACAGG
rnacentral:rRNA from 1 species